rnacentral:rRNA from 1 species
UACGAAGGGUGCAAGCGUUAUUCGGAAUUACUGGGCGUAAAGCGCGCGUAGGUGGUUUGUUAAGUCUGUUGUGAAAGCCCCGGGCUCAACCUGGGAAUGGCAAUGGAUACUGGCAAGCUAGAGUGCGGUAGAGGGUAGUGGAAUUCCCGGUGUAGCGGUGAAAUGCGUAGAGAUCGGGAGGAACACCAGUGGCGAAGGCGGCUACCUGGACCAGCACUGACACUGAGGCACGAAAGCGUGGGGAGCAAACAGG